GCUCUAAUAGCUUACCNUCUAAAGCAUUGUUCUUGUA
rnacentral:tRNA from 1 species